rnacentral:rRNA from 1 species
CUGAGAGUUUGAUCCUGGCUCAGAACGAACGCUGGCGGCAUGCCUAACACAUGCAAGUCGAACGAACCCUUCGGGGUUAGUGGCGCACGGGUGCGUAACGCGUGGGAACCUGCCUUUAGGUUCGGAAUAACAGUGAGAAAUUACUGCUAAUACCGGAUAAUGUCUUCGGACCAAAGAUUUAUCGCCUUUAGAUGGGCCCGCGUUGGAUUAGCUAGUUGGUGGGGUAAAGGCCUA